UACGUAGGGUGCGAGCGUUGUCCGGAAUUAUUGGGCGUAAAGGGCUCGUAGGCGGUCUGUCGCGUCGGGAGUGAAAACUCGGGGCUUAACUCCGAGCCUGCUUCUGAUACGGGCAGACUAGAGGUAUGCAGGGGAGAAUGGAAUUCCUGGUGUAGCGGUGAAAUGCGCAGAUAUCAGGAGGAACACCGGUGGCGAAGGCGGGUCUCUGGGCCGAUACUGACGCUGAGGAGCGAAAGCGUGGGGAGCGAACAGG
rnacentral:rRNA from 1 species